UUACUUCAACAGCACAUAUACUACAAUCAGAAUGAUACAGAGAAUAUUAGCAUGGCCCCUGAGCAAGGAUAAAAAAGCUAAUUCAUGGGGUUGUGUUGUGGCUC
ensembl:snRNA U6 U6 spliceosomal RNA